UACAGAGGGUGCAAGCGUUAAUCGGAAUUACUGGGCGUAAAGCGAGCGUAGUCGGUUAUUUAAGUCGGAUGUGAAAUCCCCGGGCUCAACCUGGAAAUUGCAUUCGAUACUGGAUAGCUAGAGUUCGGCAGAGGGAAGCGGAAUUUCUGGUGUAGCGGUGAAAUGCGUAGAUAUCAGAAGGAACAUCAGUGGCGAAAGCGGCUUCCUGGACCAGAACUGACGAUCAGGCUCGAAAGCGUGGGGAGCAAACAGG
rnacentral:rRNA from 1 species